AUUGAACGCUAGCGGCAUGCCUUACACAUGCAAGUCGAACGGAGGGGCGAACGGGUGAGUAAUGUAUCGGAAUGUGCCUAGUAGCGGGGGAUAACUACGCGAAAGCGUAGCUAACACCGCUCCCUCGCGGAGCGGUCUAUACCGGAUUAGCUAGGUGGUGGGGGAACGGCUCACCAAGGCGACUAUCCGUAGCUGGUUUGAGAGGACGACCAGCCACACUGGGACUGAGACACGGCCCAUACUCCUACGGGAGGCAGCAGUGGGGAAUUUUGGACAAUGGGGGAAACCCUGAUCCAGCCAUCCCGCGUGUACGAUGAAGGCCUUCGGGUUGUAAAGCACUUUUGGCAGGGAGGCGGUACCUGCAGAAUAAGCACCGGCUAACUACGUGCCAGCAGCCGCGGUAAUUC
rnacentral:rRNA from 1 species